AUUAGAUUUUGAUUUACUAAGUAAAUUCGUUCAUCUUGGUGCCGUAGAAAGAUUAGAGGUUACUCGCAAGAUCGGAGUAUCACCAGCUCAGAUUUUAGAUGAUCUCAUGGAGAUUGAAAACGUCACGUCUUAUUUCUAGUUGUGUGAAAUGGCUGAGCAUAUGUCAAUACUUCAUCUUCAAAAAAUUCGGCUGCCAGUUGGAAAAAAAGUUUGAUGAACCACAAACGAAACUCUCCAAAGUCGAGUUCUCCAGUGUGAUAUGCUUGAAAGAAAUUUGCAUCACUUUUAUCAAUCAUGUCAGGACGGAAGAACCGUUCUCUUUGUGUUAUACCUGCAAGUUAUGAUCGUGACCACUGAUGUACGCAUCUACUUUGUACUGUUUCAAUAAAUGCAAUAGUUUAUUAUGAAGACAUUCUGUGUUGCCAUGUUGUCCAGCAGAGUAAAGUGGAUGAUGACCGAUGAAUAUAAGAUAAUUUGCACUAGAAUGUGAGAUAAAUUAUUGAUGUAGUAUAUUUGAUGGCGAGUAUUCACAUUUGUUCAACGUA